CUUUAAAAUUUAAGGUCAAAUUUUAUAAUAAAGAACAGAACGUCUACAGUGUGGAAAACGUCUCUCGUGUACAUCAAACACAUAUCUGUGCUCUUUGUAAUCGGCAGACUUAUUUCGUGUACUGCAAAAAACAAGGAAUUACGCGAAUAGUUUAUUGCAAUUACUUUAAUUUACAUUCCCUUUUUGUGUUUCGGUUCUCAUAAUGUCUGAUUGGAAGAUAACGUGCUUACCAGAGAAGAUGAUAAGCUACAUUCUCAACGAUAACGUACUCACUAUUGAAGAUAUCAUUAACUUUCGAUGCGUAUGCAAGCAAUUUCGUUAUGCAUGCUCUAUACAUAUGACAAGUUCUUGGAAAAAAAGUUAUCUCAAAGGAAAAUUGAUCGAAAUUCAAUCCAAGAAUUUUGCAAUAUAAAAAUGUCUCACUAUGAGAAGAUAUCUUCGAUACGAAAUGAGUUAGACAGAUAUAUACAGAAACCUGAAAGAGAACAGCUUUUGGAAGAAACAUGUACUUUCAUAGCACAACGUAUUCAACCUCGAAAAGAUGUAUGUUACACGAAUGUAAGUGCAUCAUUGGAUACAAUCGCACAAGAGGUACUGACUUGUCUCAGAUUGAAGCAUCCAAACCAUUCGAUAUUCUCCACGUCUGAAGAAACUUUUUCCUAUUGGAAAAGCAACAAUAUCAAAGAUAAUCAUUGGGAUGAAACAGAAAGUACGCAGAUUAUGGAUACACUCCAAGAAUAUAUUUAGCAUCUUGAAUUUUCGAGCAUGUAUCUCCCCAUUUUCACCCAAAGAUAUCAAAUGGAUUUGUAUAGAUUAUAAAAUGAACGAUGUUUUUACAUAGAAGACAAAAAUUUCUCGAAUUGUCUUCAUAAUUAUCUACCAGGUUACAAGUCUUGUGAAACAAAUCAUGACGUCAUCAAAAUAAGAACUGAAAAGAUGUUGGUCAUGAUAAAAGAUUUUGUUGAAACGUUUAUAUGGACACAUAAUAAUCUAUUUGGGAUUAAUGAAUUGUAAUGU